ACCGUCGCCGCUCAGUGGUCAUUCCCUGUGCUGUGCGGAAAAUGGGCGGCACAACCGGCUGGAAAGGGUCGACUGGUCGACCUCUGCUGCUGGGCCCCACGUCCCACUGUUCUUCUGGUUCCGGUACAAAUGGCUUUGCCCCUCCCGGCGCAGGAAUGUCAAAGGCUGGGUCUGGAUCGUCCCUGGUCGCUGUGCAGAAUGUCGACGACCGGUCCGGGCAGGUGGCGAUGUGCCUCUGGUAGUCCUCAUCAUUGGCGGGCGCCAUGUGAUCCGUGGUGAACGGGCAAGGCUUCAGUCGGUACCGAGGGUGUUCCUUGCGGCACUUGGUCAUGUGUAUGUUCAGCCGACCUCUCUUGACUUUGUGGAACGGGUUGUACGGGCACUUCACCAGGUCAUCUUGCAAGCUGUUGAA